UAGGGUACUGCAAUUUUGAUAAAUGAGGUAUUUUUUUAUAAUGUAUAUACUAAAAGAGAAAACAAAACACAUAAUAGCAUAAAUUUGAUUUAUUUUACUCUUUUAUCUCUACACUGAGCAAGCUAAAAUCAAAAGUACAAAAUUGCAUAACAAGCGCAUAGUAUUCAACUUUUUAUCAUAACUUUGUAACCACUGAAGAUUUUUUGUUGCAACAACCAGUAAAAGAAAGAUGAAUAAAUUGUCUGUAACAGUGAACCAAUAAUGUAGUUCAAAUUAAGUUCACUUAUUAACUAUCAAAUGAUAAAAACAGCAAAAUUUUAAAUGAAACAACAUAACGUGAAAUUUUGCCCAUUUUCAGCGUGUAUUUUAGUGUUUUUUUUUUCAAAACGGUAACACCUAUACAUAAUAUUUGAUAUUCAUUGUGAAGCCCUAC
rnacentral:lncRNA from 1 species